rnacentral:rRNA from 1 species
UACGAAGGGGGCUAGCGUUGCUCGGAAUCACUGGGCGUAAAGCGCACGUAGGCGGCUUUUUAAGUCAGAGGUGAAAUCCUGGAGCUCAACUCCAGAACUGCCUUUGAUACUGGAGAGCUUGAGUCCGGGAGAGGUGAGUGGAACUGCGAGUGUAGAGGUGAAAUUCGUAGAUAUUGGGAAGAACACCGGUGGCGAAGGCGGCGACCUGGUCCAUUACUGACGCUGAGGCGCGAAAGCGUGGGGAGCAAACAGG